UUCUGACAGGUCCAAAUUUGCCCUUAAGUCGGUCUAGUUGUUUUCUUCAUUGAAUUUCUCCACUCAAAGCGAAGGUAGGUCAAUCUCAAGAGGUAUCAUAGCUUCAAUUCUGAAGGCUAAACUGAACAGGGUCCCUCCAGUGGGAACCCAUUGCGUUGUUCGAUACGCCCAAAGUAUAUUAUAAAGCUCCUUGACCCAUAGCCCCUUGGCUCAGUCCAGCCUCAUUUUUAGUCCCUACAACAAAGUCCAAUUGGUCACUUCAACUUUUCCAUUACUCUGAGGGUGAGCAACAAAGCCAAGUGGUAGGAGAUCC
rnacentral:lncRNA from 1 species